CAAGCCGAACGAGAAAGGGGAGCAAUCCCUGAGUACAGUGGCGUACGGGUGAGUAACACGUGGAUGAUCUACCUCUUAGUGGGGAAUAACUAUGGGAAACCGUAGCUAAUACCGCAUAAGCCUGAGAAGGGAAAGCAGCAAUGCGCUGAGAGAGGAGUCCGCGGCCGAUUAGCUAGUUGGUGGGGUAAGAGCCCACCAAGGCUGAGAUCGGUAGCCGGCCUGAGAGGGCACACGGCCACACUGGCACUGAAACACGGGCCAGACUCCUACGGGAGGCAGCAGUGGGGAAUCUUGCACAAUGGGGGAAACCCUGAUGCAGCGACGCCGCGUGAGCGAUGAAGCCCUUCGGGGUGUAAAGCUCUUUCGGCAGGGAAGAUUAUGACGGUACCUGCAGAAGCAGCUGCGGCUAACUACGUGCCAGCAGCCGCGGUAAUACGUAGGCAGCAAGCGUUGUUCGGAGUUACUGGGCGUAAAGGGUGUGUAGGCGGUUGUUUAAGUUUGGUGUGAAAUCUCCCGGCUCAACCGGGAGGGUGCGCCGAAUACUGAAUGACUAGAGUGCGGGAGGGGAAAGUGGAAUUCCUGGUGUAGCGGUGAAAUGCGUAGAUAUCAGGAGGAACACCGGUGGUGUAGACGGCUUUCUGGACCGUAACUGACGCUGAGACACGAAAGCGUGGGUAGCAAACAGGAUUAGAUACCCUGGUAGUCCACGCCCUAAACGAUGCAUAUUUGGUGUGGGCAGUUCAUUCUGUCCGUGCCGGAGCUAACGCGUUAAAUAUGCCGCCUGGGGAGUACAGUCGCAAGGCUCAAACUCA
rnacentral:rRNA from 1 species